rnacentral:rRNA from 1 species
UACGUAGGGUGCGAGCGUUAAUCGGAAUUACAGGGCGUAAAGCGUGCGCAGGCGGUUUUGUAAGCCAGAUGUGAAAUCCCCGGGCUUAACCUGGGAAUGGCAUUUGGGACUGCAAGGCUGGAGUGCGGCAGAGGAGACUGGAAUUCCUGGUGUAGCAGUGAAAUGCGUAGAUAUCAGGAGGAAUACCGAUGGCGAAGGCAGGUCUCUGGGCUGACACUGACGCUCAUGCACGAAAGCGUGGGGAGCAAACAGG